GAGAUUGCAGCCAUCAGUCAGGAGUGCCUGCAAGGACUGGAUUUUCUUCACUUGAACCACGUGAUCCACCGAGAUGUGAAGAGCAGCAACAUCCUUCUCAGAACCAACGGCUCUGUCAAGCUGGCUGACUCUGGCCCCUUUGCUCAGCUCACCCCUGAGCAGAGUUGAUGGAGCUCAGUGGCCAGCACUUCUGGGUGGAUGGUGCCUGAAGUGGUGACAGGUCAACCAUGUGGCCCCAAAGUGGACAUAUGGUCUGUUGGAAUCGUGGGCAUCGAAAUGGUGGAAAGAGAAGUUCCUUACCAGAAUGAAACUCCUGUUUCGCCUCAACUCCUGAUAGCCAUACAAGGGACACCAAAGC